rnacentral:rRNA from 1 species
GACGAACGCUGGCGGCGUGCUUAAUACAUGCAAGUCGAACGAUGAAAGCUGGAGCUUGCUCCGGCUGGAUUAGUGGCGAACGGGUGAGUAACACGUGAGUAACCUGCCCCUCUCUCUGGGAUAACCGCCGGAAACGGUGGCUAAUACCGGAUACGACCGAUGAAGGCAUCUUCUGUCGGUGGAAAGAAUUUCGGUGAGGGAUGGACUCGCGGCCUAUCAGGUAGUUGGUGAGGUAACGGCUCACCAAGCCGACGACGGGUAGCCGGCCUGAGAGGGUGACCGGCCACACUGGGACUGAGACACGGCCCAGACUCCUACGGGAGGCAGCAGUAGGGAAUAUUGCACAAUGGGCGCAAGCCUGAUGCAGCAACGCCGCGUGAGGGACGACGGCCUUCGGGUUGUAAACCUCUUUUAGUAGGGAAGAAGCGAAAGUGACGGUACCUGCAGAAAAAGCACCGGCUAACUACGUGCCAGCAGCCGCGGUAAUACGUAGGGUGCAAGCGUUGUCCGGAAUUAUUGGGCGUAAAGAGCUCGUAGGCGGUUUGUCGCGUCUGCUGUGAAAACCCGAGGCUCAACCUCGGGCCUGCAGUGGGUACGGGCAGACUAGAGUGCGGUAGGGGAGAUUGGAAUUCCUGGUGUAGCGGUGGAAUGCGCAGAUAUCAGGAGGAACACCGAUGGCGAAGGCAGAUCUCUGGGCCGUAACUGACGCUGAGGAGCGAAAGCAUGGGGAGCGAACAGGAUUAGAUACCCUGGUAGUCCAUGCCGUAAACGUUGGGAACUAGAUGUAGGGUCCAUUCCACGGAUUCUGUGUCGCAGCUAACGCAUUAAGUUCCCCGCCUGGGGAGUACGGCCGCAAGGCUAAAACUCAAAGGAAUUGACGGGGGCCCGCACAAGCGGCGGAGCAUGCGGAUUAAUUCGAUGCAACGCGAAGAACCUUACCAAGGCUUGACAUAUACCGGAAACGGCUGGAAACAGUCGCCCCGCAAGGUCGGUAUACAGGUGGUGCAUGGUUGUCGUCAGCUCGUGUCGUGAGAUGUUGGGUUAAGUCCCGCAACGAGCGCAACCCUCGUUCUUUGUUGCCAGCACGUCAUGGUGGGAACUCAAAGGAGACUGCCGGGGUCAACUCGGAGGAAGGUGGGGAUGACGUCAAAUCAUCAUGCCCCUUAUGUCUUGGGCUUCACGCAUGCUACAAUGGCCGGUACAAAGGGCUGCAAUACCGUAAGGUGGAGCGAAUCCCAAAAAGCCGGUCUCAGUUCGGAUUGAGGUCUGCAACUCGACCUCAUGAAGUCGGAGUCGCUAGUAAUCGCAGAUCAGCAACGCUGCGGUGAAUACGUUCCCGGGCCUUGUACACACCGCC